AAGGAGUUGUUGGUGCACCUUUCCUAUAAGCAGAAUUAAAAAUGCAAUUCAGUUCCUAACAUCAGAAUUAAAAAGUAAUUAAGGAUAAUUAAAAACAGAUUUUUUUUUUCCUUUUUCCAGAAUAUUUAUAACAAGAUAUCAAAUAAUGUUGACAUUGGACCAUUAUAUUUUCAUGCUCAUGCAGUUAAACAAUGAGAUAAACCAUCCCAUAUCGGUAAGGUAUGUGGGUAAUGUGCCCCUUAUAAAGAUUUGGGUAAUCGUCUACCUCUUGAGCUAGAUUUUGGAGAUGAGUUAGGUCCGGUCCAUUUUCUUAUUAGAAACAAUACUAAUAUAUAGAUCUUACAUUAUGGCAUGGAACCCAAACUUCAGUUAAGACAAAAGUCUGUUUUACUUUGAACCCCAUAAUAUAUUUGAUUACGGCCAAAAGUGAAAUAUCAUGAUAUCCUUAAUAAACUUUAAUUCAUAGCUUGAUCUAACAGGCCAGGACCACAACAUUAACUAACAGCUUCAAGAACAGAAGAAUUGGGCCUAAUAUUCCAUGCAAAGGAACCAUGGAGUUUUUAUUCAUUCGCAUGCAAAUAUUAAUCCUGAUCAAUUUACGGUUCUUUCUAGAAUACCCUUCAAGCAGUCAACAACUUGCUAGGUGGUCCAUCAAUACUAAAGCAUGAAACUUGCAGGAUGGCAUCAUGAUUUAUAAAAUGAGUGGGAAAAAAAACCUUAGUAUUUGAUUUGAAUUGCCUAAAGCUAAACUUUCACAUUUGACAAAACAAAAACCAAAACAUGAGCAUAUAUUAUGUCAAUAACAAAGAAAAGAUGUAUCUAGAACAACCAGAAAAUUUAGCAUCUCAUUCCAGACUGAUUCACUUACCAAACAACACAAUUGCCGCAGACCAGUGCAA
rnacentral:misc_RNA from 1 species